GCCCGCUUGGCGGAAUUGGUAGACGCAACGGACUUAAAAUCCGUUAUCCGAAAGGGUGUGCGGGUUCAAGUCCCGCCCCGGGCACCA
rnacentral:tRNA from 1 species